GGAUGUGAUCAUACCAGCACUAAAGCACCGGAUCCCAUCAGAACUCCGUAGUUAAGCGUGCUUGGGCGAGAGUAGUACUAGGAUGGGUGACCUCCUGGGAAGUCCUCGUGUUGCAUUCC
rnacentral:rRNA from 2 species